rnacentral:lncRNA from 1 species
AGUCUACCUCAUGAAAGCCACACUACUUUUCAAAGAAAAAUAUUUUCUUUGGAGUUGUAGGUAUUAUAGUGAAAACUUAAUCCUGACUUCUGUUCUGCAUAAAUGAGAAUCGCACUAUGCCAGGUAACAUAAUAUAGCGAGUACCCUGGUUGAGUCAAGAUAAUAUAAAAUAAGUGGAAAGAUAAUGUGGCCCAAGUAGUAAAGGAAAGGAUGUGCAAACAGCCGAAUGUGAAUCUGGCAAUAAUGUGCCUGUUUAAAUGAGUUUUAGUUGAGUACCAAAUAGUUACCUAGGUUUUCCUGGGAAAAACACUGAUCCAGCUUUUCUGAUUCAACUGAGUUUGUGUAUGGUUUUGAAUAAAUAACUAAACAAUAGAAA